rnacentral:rRNA from 1 species
UUCGACGCAACGCGCAGAACCUUACCUGGUCUUGACAUCUACGGAACCUCCCGAAAAGGAGGGGUGCCUUUCGGGGAGCCGUAAGACAGGUGCUGCAUGGCUGUCGUCAGCUCGUGUCGUGAGAUGUUGGGUUAAGUCCCGCAACGAGCGCAACCCUCAUUGUUAGUUACUACCAUUCAGUUGAGGACUCUAAUGAGACUGCCAACGAUAAGUUGGAGGAAGUGGGGAUGACGUCAAAUCAUCAUGCCCUUUAUGACCUGGGCUACAAACGUACUACAAUGGCCAAUACAAAGAGAUGCGAAGCGGUGACGUGGAGCGAACCUCAGAAAAUCAUCCGUAGUUCGGAUUGGAGUCUGAAACCCGACUCCAUGAAGGUGGAAUCGCUAGUAAUCGCGCAUCAGCAUGCCGCGGUGAAUACGUUCCCGGGCCUU